GCCUGUGUAGCUCAGGGGUAGAGCUUUACACUUGUACCUCAAACGAGAGCUGCAAUGUAAGGGUCCAGUGUUCAAUUCACUGCUCAGGCA